CUUAAUAGCCGAUUUUAAAAGUAGCACUUUUAAAAUCGGCUCCUCAGUAGCUGAUUUUAAAAGUAGCACUUUUAAAAUCGGCUAUUGAU
rnacentral:miRNA from 1 species